GUUCAUCCUAAGAAAAGAAAUGUUUCUCAGACUAUAUUCUGGAACUUGACAUGCAAUAGCACUCGGGAUUUAUGGAACUUCUGACCCCACAGAGGACAAGAAUUAAUUUCUCAGGCAACGCCAUCAUUUUGCAGGACCAGACACCCUGACAAAUUUGUUCAUCCUGAAGUUUUUUGUAUUCCUCCUCUUUGUGACAGCAGUACUCCUCAACUUGGCUAACUUUUCCCUUCUCCCCUCGAUGUCAGCUUGAAUAACUUUUUCCCUCUUUUCAUUUGACAGCAAAGCAAGCCUCGCAAACUUCCUCGGGUUUACUGGCCCAAGCCUUUCAUUAAUUUCCUUGAAAGCAGGAACAAGGCCACGUCUAAUAAAACAUCCUUCAAUAAGCUGCAUUGAGUUCAUCUCUGGAAGGCUAGGCCUAUUUUUCAACUCAAGAUCUAAGCAAA
rnacentral:misc_RNA from 1 species